AUUGAACGCUGGCGGCAUGCCUUACACAUGCAAGUCGAACGGCAGCAUGAUCUAGCUUGCUAGAUUGAUGGCGAGUGGCGAACGGGUGAGUAAUACAUCGGAACGUUCCCUGUAGUGGGGGAUAACUAGUCGAAAGAUUAGCUACUACCGCAUACGACCUGAGGGUGAAAGUGGGGGACCGCAAGGCCUCAUGCUAUAGGAUCGACCGAUGUCUGAUUAGCUAGUUGGUGAGGUAAAGGCUCACCAAGGCGACGAUCAGUAGCUGGUCUGAGAGGACGAUCAGCCACACUGGGACUGAGACACGGCCCAGACUCCUACGGGAGGCAGCAGUGGGGAAUUUUGGACAAUGGGCGAAAGCCUGAUCCAGCAAUGCCGCGUGUGUGAAGAAGGCCUUCGGGUUGUAAAGCACUUUUGUCCGGAAAGAAAUGGCUCUGGUUAAUACCUGGGGUCGAUGACGGUACCGGAAGAAUAAGGACCGGCUAACUACGUG
rnacentral:rRNA from 1 species